CUAGGUUAUUAAACCUAGUUAAAUGCCUAGCAAAACAAGAAAGGAAAUGAAAUUGGGUCAAUUAUGAUUAAGUGACAAACAUGAGGGGUUAGUUUUGAAUGAGUGAAAAGAUAAAAUAUAAAAAAUAAAAUUAAAAACCCCACACCCACACCUGGGCGUAUGUGGGUGUUCGACCAGAGAAGAGAAAGAAGGGGGAAACCCCUUCUCAAACCCUAAUCGACCAACUUGGAUGGAUUUUGGCUGAAAUCGAACUUGCAUGAACAAGAUUCUUGAUUGUUCAACUCUGUAAAACACAUGGAAUCCCAAUGGACAUGGACUCAAGAAUAGAAGGCUAACGGAUCAAGGGUAAAUAAAGAAGCUAUGCACAACUCGGACGCACGAUGUAUAUGAACACCGGGUUCUUGAAGUAUCGAAGUCGAACUCUGAAUAAGAAAAUACGAAAGGAUAGUUAAAUAAAUCAAAGUUUCAUUGUUAAAUGUUAUUCACUAUUAGAUUAUAUGAGAAUCAUGUUGUAUAACGUUGUCAAUGACUAAUGGUUAAGUUGUAUGUGAUGUUCACAGGUAUUGCACGUAUCUCUACCACUACUAUCGAAGAUAAGCAUACAUUGAUCGAGCCCAAAAUUAAAGAUUGUACGGGAAGAACGGCCACAUAGUCUGAUUUAUGUAUUGUCUUGAAGCGUUACCUUAAUGUGGUUAUUGUUAACCCCUUUUUUGUAAAUGUUUACCAUUUGUAUUUGAGCUUUUAAAUAAGUAAUGGGUCUAAAUAAGAAAGAAAAUUUUUGGGCUC
rnacentral:lncRNA from 1 species